UGGUUUGCGACAUGAUUAUUGUUGUUGCAGCAAUGCUUUCUGGAUUGAGAAAUGUGUUGUUAGUCGUGCUUUUUUUCCUGUCACUAGUAACUGGCAACUUUGAUUUUGUAUUUAGGUGCAUCUCAAGCUCAGUUCAUCAGCUGUCCUAUUAGUCUUAGUCCUGCAGGUCAACCAUUUUGGAUACGUGACCGAGCUAUUUAUCAGUGUAGGGUAGACUCUGCUGAUACAUUAGAAUGGAGAGUAUACAAUGCUACUGAGUAUUUACUUGGUUCUAGUACGUAUGGUCCAGGAACUAGUGUGGGAACCAUAAAAUCAUUUGGAAUCGAUUUCACUACUAACCUAACUUCUACUGGUAGCCCUAUCGUCUCUGAUAUAGCAUUCGAUGUUAAGUACUACCGUACAGCAGGAAAUAUUUGCGGGGAAUUAAAUUUUGCGAGUUUGCGAUUCCAUUUAAAGCGCAAAAUUUAAAUCCGCAAAAUAAUGAAAUUCAUGCAU